rnacentral:misc_RNA from 1 species
AAGAAGAUGAAGAAGAAGAAGAAAGAUAAGAUCAAUAAAGAUGCUGUAAAUGAAGCUGAAGGAAAUGAAGAGCCGCCAGCUGUCACUGAUGGAAAUGAUGACCAAGAACAAGAUUCAGUAGAUGAAACUGAAUAUUAUGCAUGGAAUGAACUGAGACUUCAUCCACUGCUCAUGAAAUCGAUAUACGCGCUCAAGUUCAAAGAACCUACACCAAUACAACAAGCGUGCAUUCCUGCAGGUUCUCACCAAGGAAAGGAUGUUGUGGGUGCUGCAGAGACAGGUUCUGGGAAAACACUGGCAUUUGGUCUGCCCAUUCUUCAACGUCUGCUUGAGGAGCGAGAAAAGGCCGAAAGGCAGCUUCCAGAAAAUGGAGAAUUGGAUGAUAAAGUUGCCUCCGCAGGUCUCCUCCGCGCUCUAAUUAUUACUCCUACAAGAGAGCUUGCCCUUCAGGUCACUGAUCAUCUGAAGGAAGCAGCAAAACAUUCAAAUUUUAGGGUUGUCCCUAUUGUUGGUGGAAUGUCAAGUGAAAAACAAGAAAGACUUUUGAAAACAAGGCCUGAAAUUGUUGUCGGAACUCCGGGGAGGCUUUGGGAGCUUAUGUCUGGUGGUGAAACUCAUCUCGUGGAGUUGCACUCACUGUCAUUUUUUGUGCUGGAUGAGGCCGAUCGGAUGAUAGAAAAUGGCCAUUUCCACGAGUUGCAGUCUAUAGUUGACAUGCUUCCUAUGGCUAAUAAAUCGACUGAUGACGAUUCUCAGAAAUCACAAAAUUGUGAAACAGUUUCCAGUGUCCAAAGAAAGAAAAGGCAAACAUUUG